GAUGAACGCUGGCGGCGUGCCUAAUACAUGCAAGUCGAGCGAAGCGGGGACGGGUGAGUAACACGUGGAUAACCUCCUAUAAGACUGGGAUAACUUCGGGAAACCGGAGCUAAACCGGGUACUUAUAGAUGGAUCCGCGCUGCAUUAGCUAGUUGGUAAGGUAACGGCUUACCAAGGCAACGAGGCAUAGCCGACCUGAGAGGGGGAGCGGCCAAACGGGAACUGAGACACGGCCCAGACGCCUACGGGAGGAAGAAGUAGGGAAUCUUCCGAAAUGGGCGAAGGCCUGACAGAGCAACGCCGCGGAAGUGAGGAAGGUCUUCGGAUCGUAAAACUCUGUUAUUAGGGAAGCGGUACCUAAUCAGAAAGCCACGGCUAACUACGUGCCAGCAGCCGCGGUAAUUC
rnacentral:rRNA from 1 species